ACUAAAUUUGGUUGACAAAGUCAUGCAAAAUUACAUCAUAAUAAAUGCUGUGAAAAGCAAACAGUUAACACCCAACAAUGCUUGUGCUAUAUAAAUUAUGAUAUCUUGAAUACCUAAAAACCAAACUAACAUGGCUUCAAAAGCAACCUCUCUUAUUUGGGCUGUCCUCAUUCUUUGUGUGUUAACACUGUGUGCCAUGAAACUAGCUGGUGCUUCUGAGCUUCAGACAAGGUCGUAUGAAAUGAUGGCUAGUUAUAGAAGGCUAAGAGAUGAUGAUCCUCAGGGAGGCCAUUACCAUCACGUCCAUGAUUAGGCUGAUUAUUGUAAUUGUGUGGUUGUACAUUAAAUUAAUAAUUAUAGAUUGGUGUUGUUUGUCUUGUACGUAGACUGUUCCAAAACAGUUAAUUUGUAACGUUAUCUAUAUAAAAGAUUAGUUCUACUUUGUUUAAGAGUUAUAGGAUCUCUUAUAUCAAUAAAGUGGGAUAGUUAAAACAUCUCUUGUACUCUACCUAAUAUAUUUAGGAUUAAAUUA